rnacentral:rRNA from 1 species
CACACCGCCCGUCACAUCACGGAAGUCGGUAACACCCGAAGUCAGUGGCCCGACCACUUCGUGGAGGGAGCUGCCGAAGGUGGGAUCGGUGACUGGGAUG